rnacentral:lncRNA from 1 species
CUCUUUUACAGGAUUCCUCUCCCCACCCACACCCUGAAAAUCGUCACGCCCACUCUCAUCCACCACUUGCAGUGCUGCCACCACCGGUGGUGGCGCCGGAAGGACAGGCUGCUCAGGCUUCCUCUCUACCUCCUCAUUCCUAGAUACUAAAUCCUCAUUCUUUCUAAAAGAUUGAAGAAAAUUCUCACCAACGUUAACAUCAUUGUAGAGAUCUUCGUAAUCAUCAUCCUCUUCAACCAUAAACCCAUCAUCGGCAACAGCAGAGAUCGCUUCAUUCCUGUGAAACUGCUCGAUUGGCUCUCCACCAACUCCAUCCCCACCUUCAUUAUCCUCCAUGACCUAAUCUAACAGGAUUAGGGUUACGAUCAGUUAUCACAAGCUCAAAUGAAGCUAAAUUUUUCAAAUUCUAAUACUACUAGCUACGAAACGAAAAAAAUACCAAAAAAUUCAACAAAAUCAAACAAUCAACAAACAACAAAUUGAAAUUGAGGGAAUAAUCUUACCGGAGGAACAGCAAGUUGAAUUUGUCGAGCAGACUGAAAUUUUUAGGGAGAAAAGGGAAGAAACCCUAAUUCUGUGGAAAGUUUGAGUUGUGACAAGAAACUAUCAGAAAGAGGGGUAAAUAUUUGCCUUAUUUUUCCGUAUUUUAUAAUUUUAUAAGCGUUGACGAAUUGUUAUUUUGAGCUAGAUCCGCAGACCGUAGGUAACGUGUUGAUUCGAUUUUAUGUAUUAUCGAUUUUGAUUUAUUAAUUUUUUAUUUUCAAACAUGUUAAAUUUAUAUAUUUUUAAUAAGUUUUAUAUUUUUAACUGUCCGGUUUUUUUAUUUAAUCAAUAAAAAAUUGUUUAUAAAAUAAAUAUAGGAAAAAUUACAUGAAUUAAUAUAUUUUAAAAAAUAAUACUGAUUUUAGCGAUACUUUUUAUUUAUUAUUAUUUAUAGCAAUAUUGUGAUAAAUCUGUAACAUGUAUUAUGCAAUAUAUUUUAAUUAUAAUUGUUUUUGAAAUAUAUUGUGUUUAUUCGGUAAAAAAUAAUCACAUCGUAUUAUAAGUGAAUCAAAAUGCGUGAUAAAUGUAUCAUUCAUUAGUAAAACUUGUAUUAUAUAUGAAUAAUAAAUUGUUCUUUGUAAUAUGUAUUAAGCUUGUAUUAUAAAUGAAUUAAAAGUGAUCAAGUGAAAAACAAAAAGCUAUUGCUAUAAAUGGUAAAUAUUUUUUUAUUAUAGCAUAUUUAUGUAAGUUCCCCAAUAUAUGACUUCACCAAUAAUUUGACGCGACAAAACAAUAAUGUAACUAUAGAGAAAUACUCAUAAAAUAUAAAUAACAAUAGCUAACAUGGAAAGAAUUAUUCAAGGAAGACACAAAUAAAAGAAAGUGUGAAUUCAAAGUCAUUGCUAAAUGUUAGUAUUCCAUGUACACUUUUCAAAAACUUGUAACAAGAAAAAUUCUAUGUACACUUGCAGAAGGAAGAAUUAGCGCUAAACAACAACAUAUGCCCAACUAAAAAACUGGGUCAAAAACAAAGAAACAACGAUGAUACAAAGAGAAAAACAAGUAGUACAACAAACGCCAGAGCAAGGGAUCAGAUCGGCGCCAACCUGUGGGUCAAAUCCUAUUAACACAUUACAUCAAAUAGCAAAUGUCUAUGAUAAUCUAUAACUAGGCUUCCAAUAAAGUCACAAGUCACCAGAAAGGAUUAUUCAGGUCACAUUCAACAAAAACAUAAAUUCAAAAACUGACAUAAAAGGUUCCACUAGCAAUUCAAUCUUCACUGAGAGGUAAAACCAUAUAAUAUAACAUUCUUCCUCAGGCAGAAGCUUCAAGGAGUUCCCUUCCAUACUUCUUCACACAGCUUGCUCUACGUCCUCCAUGCUAUAAUCACAAGAAACCAAACAAAAUUUGUAAUCAACACCUUGCAGAAAAAAGAACAAUCAAACAUUGGAACUACAGUCAGUCAGUCUCAUGGUAAAAAUCAAAAUUCACAAGUCUAAAUAAGCACACAACUAUUCCUCCUCAUUGCCAAGUAAGUCGGUAUCAGCUAUAUGUAUCCUUCUUACUAAUCAUGUUUCUCAAAUUAAACUCACCUCAUCCCAACAUUGGUCCAAGAAAAAAAACUGCUCCCUUCGAUUUCCCAAUUUCCUCCCAAGAAAAAUGCCAUACUUGCAAAUAUUUUUCUUUGAACUUCUAACCUUACACUUGAUGAUAUGAUUUCUUUUAUUGUUCUUUAUGAGAUCAUUUAUAACCAAAUAAAUGUUUAUGGUUUGUUUUAGACCAUAAAUAAAGUAAGCAGUAGUAUCAAUGGCAUCAAGAAGAUGCAUAAUUACAAACGAGAGAGAUUGUUACCUCAGUUGCAAUGAGUCCUAUGCUAUGUAUAAGGAGCUAACAAAAUCCAAAAGUUUGACAUCAGAGUCCACUGGGGAAAAGCUAUUCCAACUACAUAAAUUUUGAAGACAUCUAGCCUUAAGGGAGUACUUUGGAGUAGAUAUUUCAACAAAACAUCUUCAAUUUCACUCCUUCCAAACACAUCAUAGAUUUUUCCAAGAGAAUCCAACUGAUGUAGUCCUUCAUACUUUCAGGCAUAACUAAGUUUAGUUCAAAAGGUCGAUCAUCCAUUCUAAAACUCCGCACAGUCAAACACAACCACAUACAUUGGUACGGAAGGAGUAUUAAAUUGGAAAACUACUUCUGCUAAAAUUACUAAAAAAUCUCAAGCUUAUGCUGGAAAUGCAGCACUUCCUAUUAAGAACCCCACCAAGAAGAACCUGAGAGAAAUGUUAAUUGUAGCCCUCCACAACAAAGGAGUACCAGGAAGUCAGUCUAUUAGGAUUCAUGAUUAGUUAACAAAGUAAGUUAUGAAAUUUGAAAACCUUGCAGGGUUUUCAAAAUGCCAUGUUUUUUUUAUAAAUUUCCCAAAUAACAAAAAUUAGACAUAAAUCAGCUUGAAGGAUAUAACAACAAAGUGCAAAGACAACGAAGACUGAUGGUACACAAAAGAUAUAUAUGCUGUUCACUUAUAGAAUUGAAUGAGCAACAUCAUGCACUCCCCAAGGAUUUCCCAUGGCUUUUAUAGUAUCAGUCACUUUCUUAUGAAGUUAAAUUCUACAUGAAGCAUAUGUUUGGCCAUGAAUAUUUGUACUUUUUUCCCAGAGUUGAAUUCUGGAAAACAUGUUAGGCCAUAAAGCUCCGGAAUGCAACUUACUUCCAAAAAAAGUCAAAAUUUGAGAACACCAAGUUCACAAACAACUCCAAUUGAUAUUCAUGGCCAAACACAACUCCAAUUCCCAAAUACCAUUUUUCACUUUGAAAGCAAAUACUGCCUUUUUUCAAAACUCACAAGUUUCAUGGUCAAACGGGUCCUAAUAAUCAUCUUUUUUUUUCAGCAGCUCUACCCUACAAAGGUCGGGGUACGAUUUGCGUACAUCCUAUCCUUCCCAAACCCCACUUGUGGAAUGGCAUGUUGUUGUUGUUAUAAUUUUUUUAAUAAGAUAGCAGUGUAUUCUUCAGUACCAAGAUGGUACUGGCAGUCAAAUAUUUACAGAACAUAAAACAUAUUCUAGAUUACAAGAGUCAAAAAAAAAAAUCUACAACUGAUUCAGUAUCCUCUAUAUAGUUCUCUUUACACCGGAAUUCAGAAAACAAAAAACGCCUCAGCUUUAGCAUAUAACAUGACACAGCAAAUCAUAAAGAAAGCUUUCCAUGAUUGACCAGCAUCAAACAGUGAAAACUUUGGUUACAUAAAGUUCCACAUAAAUAAUAGUAGUCCCCUCCCAACUAGCACAUCAUGCUUGAGAAAGCCCUUCAGACAAAGAACAUCCUCCUAAACAGAGAAAUAGCAAAUACAGGUAGUAUUCAUUACCAAAAGCAACUAAUUCAAUGUAAGAGGAGCUGUGAACUUACUUCUUAGUGCUGAGAGACCAGUGCUCCUUAAACAGGAAAAGAGCAUAAACAUGUAUGCAACAGAACAUUUCAGAGAGCAACUCUUUGAUGAACGCAGGAAGAAAAGGAAGCCUCCCAGUAGAAAGCCUGGAUACACAUGGUAAACCCUCAGUAGAUUAGCUACUAAUCGAUCUCAUUGUGAAGUACCCUUGAAAAUAAGGAGCCAAGCCACAGAUCACUCGGACAUUAUACGCCGCCUCUUUCCAUAAUCAGCAUCCCUUGAUCUUGACCGAUGGUCUUCCUCAUGUGAUAAUCGUGAUUUGCUGUGUCCUCUUGAUGAUCUUCCUCUGUCUUCAUCAUCAUAUUCUUGCUCACGGUCCUUGUACCUGUGAUGAUCAGCAUAUCUAUCUCUAUCAUCCCUAUGACGAUCACGAUCCCUCUCGCGAUCACGCCCUCGUUCUCUAGGACGUUCAUGAUCCCGGUCCCUCUCUCUGUCUCGUGCGACAUCUCUAUCAUCGCGGUAUCUUUUCUCUGGCCAAUCCUGGUCGUGGCCCCGAUCCUUUUCACGAGCCAUGUCUCUAUCAUAGGAUGGUUCUCUGCCUUCUCUAUGUUUUCUAUCUGUAGAACCAGACCAAUCACGCUCUGAUCCUCUGUCUUUCUCUUUCACAUUAUUUGGCCAAGCCCCUCUAUCGUGAGUUGUUUCUCCAUACUGAUGAUCAGACCCAGCUUCUUCUGCAUAACUUGACUCUCCUGCUCUACCACCGUGCUCGUCACCAGCCCAUCCACCCGCAUUAGGUUCUGACCACAUCCCCAUGUUAGGCCCCUCCAUACCAGCGCCUGGCAUCAUUCCCAUACCAUUCAUUGGCAUUCCUCUACCAAAGAAUGCAGGAUUUACAUGCGGAGCUACUCCAGGCAUCCCAACUCCUCCAACAGGUGGAAAAGAUGACAACAUACCAGGAAAUGGUGGAGCUGGACCACCAGGAAAUCCUCCAUAACCACCCAUUCUCCCCAUAGGCCCUCCAAAAGCAGGAUCAAAGCCUUGACCCAUCAUUGUUUGAGGAUGCAUAAUAGGAGGUGCACCACCCAUACCUUGUCCAAAUCCACCUCCACCGUUACCCAUCAUACCCCUACCUGCAAUCCCACCAGGCCUGUUUCUCAUAGGACCUACAGGCCCCCGAUUUCCCAUAGCUUGAGGACCUCCUCUACCCCAACUGCCUCUACCAUAACCCCCCCUGUUGCCAUCCCCACCACCACCGCCGCCUUGAUAAUUGCCACCAGUAGGAGUGUUGUUAUUUCCAAUUUUACCAGCAGCUUCACCAGGCCCCCGCCUUGCUUGGGGAACAGCAGUUUGAGCCACCUGCUGAUUUCGAUUCACCUGAGCCUCACCCAUCCUCUUCACAUUAUACGGUGAUGAUGCAUAAGCGACUACACAUGGUCGCCCAUUGAACAUAUGUCCAUUCAUACUUUCCUUGCAAGCUGUGGCAGCUGAGGAAUCAUGAAACUCAACCUGGCAAUAUCCUUUAGACUUCCCACUAGCUUUUUCUUCAAAAAAUUUCACCUCCUUCACGUGUCCAUACUUGCUCAGCUCAGCUUCCAGCUCAGCAUCUGUGGUCCACCAAUGCAAAUCACCAACAAAAAGAAUUGUCGCACCACCGCCGCCACCACCUCCUCCUCCACCACUAGCGACCCCAACUCCAGCAACAAUAUUACCCGCCCCGUUCAUAUUAACCCCUCCUUGCCUUAUCAAAUUAUCAUUCCCCAUAUUUCCAACAUUACCCAGAUUUCCAGCAGCUACUGCAACACCACCACCAUGAGGCUGUUGAGCCAUCACCUGAUUUGGAACGUUACUAUUCACCAUCCGCUCUGCUAAAUCACCCAUCUUACUUGAUGGAUGACUUAACUCAACCCUAAACCCACUACCAGCAGAAGUCCCAGACACAGCUGGACCUACGGACGCUCUAGCAGCAAUCCCAGACACUACAUCCUCCUCUUUUACAGGAUUCCUCUCCCCACCCACACCCUGAAAAUCGUCACGCCCACUCUCAUCCACCACUUGCAGUGCUGCCACCACCGGUGGUGGCGCCGGAAGGACAGGCUGCUCAGGCUUCCUCUCUACCUCCUCAUUCCUAGAUACUAAAUCCUCAUUCUUUCUAAAAGAUUGAAGAAAAUUCUCACCAACGUUAACAUCAUUGUAGAGAUCUUCGUAAUCAUCAUCCUCUUCAACCAUAAACCCAUCAUCGGCAACAGCAGAGAUCGCUUCAUUCCUGUGAAACUGCUCGAUUGGCUCUCCACCAACUCCAUCCCCACCUUCAUUAUCCUCCAUGACCUAAUCUAACAGGAUUAGGGUUAC